rnacentral:rRNA from 1 species
GACGAACGCUGGCGGCGUGCUUAACACAUGCAAGUCGAACGGAAAGGCCCUGCUUUUGUGGGGUGCUCGAGUGGCGAACGGGUGAGUAACACGUGAGUAACCUGCCCUUGACUUUGGGAUAACUUCAGGAAACUGGGGCUAAUACCGGAUAGGAGCUCCUGCUGCAUGGUGGGGGUUGGAAAGUUUCGGCGGUUGGGGAUGGACUCGCGUCUUAUCAGCUUGUUGGUGGGGUAGUGGCUUACCAAGGCUUUGACGGGUAGCCGGCCUGAGAGGGUGACCGGCCACAUUGGGACUGAGAUACGGCCCAGACUCCUACGGGAGGCAGAAGUGGGGAAUAUUGCACAAUGGGCGGAAGCCUGAUGCAGCAACGCCGCGUGCGGGAUGACGGCCUGCGGGUUGUAAACCGCUUUCGCCUGUGACGAAGCGUGAGUGACGGUAAUGGGUAAAGAAGCACCGGCUAACUACGUG